rnacentral:rRNA from 1 species
CGCCCCGAGACGGGAUCUCCCCCGCAAGGAUAAGACCCCUGGGGGAACGCCAGGUGGAUAGGGCAGGAGUGGAAGUGCGGCGACGCAUGGAGCGGACUGCCACUAAUAGGUCGAAGGCUUGGCCAG